rnacentral:rRNA from 1 species
UCAUAUGCUUGUCUCAAAGAUUAAGCCAUGCAUGUCUAAGUAUAAGCAAUUAUACGGCGAAACUGCGAAUGGCUCAUUAUAUAAGUUAUCGUCUAUUUGAUAGCACCUUUCUACUUGGAUAACCGUGGUAAUUCUAGAGCUAAUACAUGCUAAAAAUCCCGACUUCGGAAGGGAUGUAUUUAUUAGAUUAAAAACCAAUGCCCUCUGGGCUCUCUGGUGAUUCAUGAUAACUUGGCGAAUCGCAUGGCCUUGCGCUGGCGAUGGUUCAUUCAAAUUUCUUCCCUAUCAACUUUCGAUGUUUGGGUAGUGGCCAAACAUGGUUACAACGGGUAACGGAGGGUUAGGGCUCGACCCCGGAGAAGGAGCCUGAGAAACGGCUACUACAUCCAAGGAAGGCAGCAGGCGCGCAAAUUACCCAAUCCCGAUUCGGGGAGGUAGUGACAAUAAAUACUGAUACAGGGCUCUUUUGGGUCUUGUAAUUGGAAUGAGUACAAUUUAAAUCCCUUAACGAGGAACAAUUGGAGGGCAAGUCUGGUGCCAGCAGCCGCGGUAAUUCCAGCUCCAAUAGCGUAUAUUAAAGUUGUUGUGGUUAAAAAGCUCGUAGUUGAACCUUGGGCCUGGCUGGCCGGUCCGCCUCACCGCGUGUACUGGUCCGGCCGGGUCUUUCCCUCUGUGGAACCCCAUGCCCUUCACUGGGUGUGGCGGGGAAACAGGACUUUUACUUUGAAAAAAUUAGAGUGCUCCAGGCAGGCCUAUGCUCGAAUACAUUAGCAUGGAAUAAUGAAAUAGGACGUGCGGUUCUAUUUUGUUGGUUUCUAGGACCGCCGUAAUGAUUAAUAGGGACAGUCGGGGGCAUCAGUAUUCAAUUGUCAGAGGUGAAAUUCUUGGAUUUAUUGAAGACUAACUACUGCGAAAGCAUUUGCCAAGGAUGUUUUCAUUAAUCAGGAACGAAAGUUAGGGGAUCGAAGACGAUCAGAUACCGUCGUAGUCUUAACCAUAAACUAUGCCGACUAGGGAUCGGACGAUGUUAUUUUUUGACUCGUUCGGCACCUUACGAGAAAUCAAAGUGCUUGGGCUCCAGGGGGAG